rnacentral:lncRNA from 1 species
GUCAAAGACAGGAGUGUAUUUGAUCCAUUGUGAACUGCUGCUGCAUGUAGCAGGAGACAGCUGACAGAUUGAUCCAGGGGAAGGAAGGACUGGCAGUUAUGUCAAAAGUUGGAGCCAGAAAGAUAAGGUGACAAUAAAGAUCACACUGAACUAGAACCCCAA